CCUUCGAUAGCUCAGCUGGCAGAGCGGAGGACUGUAGGCUCCUUGCACGGCCAUCCUUAGGUCGCUGGUUCGACUCCGGCUCGAAGGA
rnacentral:tRNA from 1 species